AGUAAUCGUGUUAAAUUUUUGUGAUUUCAAUAUUGACUGAAAUAAUCGUGAUUAUAUUUUUUCCCAUAACCGAGCAGCCCUAGUUUAUAGCAGUUAAAA